rnacentral:rRNA from 1 species
AGUGAACGCUGGCGGUAGGCCUAACACAUGCAAGUCGAACGGCAGCACAGUAAGAGCUUGCUCUUACGGGUGGCGAGUGGCGGACGGGUGAGGAAUACAUCGGAAUCUACUUUUUCGUGGGGGAUAACGUAGGGAAACUUACGCUAAUACCGCAUACGACCUACGGGUGAAAGCAGGGGAACUUCGGACCUUGCGCGAUUGAAUGAGCCGAUGUCGGAUUAGCUAGUUGGCGGGGCAAAGGCCCACCAAGGAGACGAUCCGUAGCUGGUCUGAGAGGAUGAUCAGCCACACUCGAACUGAGACACGGUCCAGACUCCUACGGACGCAGCAGUGGGGAAUAUUGGACAAUGGGCGCAAGCCUGAUCCAGCCAUACCGCGUGGGUGAAGAAGGCCUUCGGGUUGUAAAGCCCUUUUGUUGGGAAAGAAAAGCAGCAGGUUAAUACCCCGCUGUUCUGACGGUACCCAAAGAAUAAGCACCGGCUAACUUCGUG